AACGCAUAUUGCGCCCUCUGGUAUUCCGGGGGGCAUGCCUGUUCGAGCGUCAUUUUAAAAUACUCUCAAGCAUAGCUUGGUAUUGGGCUCCCGUCCACACUGGAUGGGCCUAAAACCUAGUGGCGAUACCCCUUUUGUGGCUUCAAGCGUAGUAAAAAAAAAAACUCGUCUUGAUAAAACAGCUUUGGGGGAAAUGUCUGCCAAAAAAAAUUUUUUUUUUAAUAAGAUUGACCUCGGAUUAGGUAGGAGUACCCGCUGAACUUAA
rnacentral:misc_RNA from 1 species